GGGUCAGUAGGUUGGUCGUGCCACCGGUACGUACUGGUCUCACUGAUUCCUCCUUCCUGAAGAACCGUAAUGCCAUUAAUUUGGUGUUGCUGGGAAACAGGACUGUUACUUUGGAAAAAUUAGAGUGUUUAAAGCAAGCUAACGCUUGAAUACAUUAGCAUGGAAUAAUGAAAUAGGACGAUCGAUCCUAUUUUGUUGGUUUCUAGGAUUGACGUA
rnacentral:rRNA from 1 species